ensembl:lncRNA
GGGAAACCGAGCUCUGUGGCUCCUGGGUGUCAUCGCCCCGCCUGUAAGCAGGGUCUGUGGGUGGGAGCCUUUGUGCUCCGCUGGCAGCCUGUGUGGGGCGACCGCCCUGAUAGCAGGGUUUGGGUCAAGGUGCCCCUGACUGGGGGAGAAGGAGCCCCCCGUGGCCUUCUGGGACCGGGGCUGCCCUGUAAGUCAGGGUGUGGCUGAGCCCUGGGGUACCAGGCCCUUUGCGGUGGAAGCGGCGACCGGGGCCCCUCUGUAAGCAGGGGUGUGGACCCUUUGGCCGCCACGUUGUGUGCCCAGCCCCAUUUGCCCAGGCUGCCCGACUCUGCGGCCCGUUGCAGCAGCGUCUGGAAGUCCGCGGCGCAUGGAAGUGGAGCUCCCGCAGAAGACGGCGGAAGAAGCCACGUGUGGAACCGGGCGGCAGGAGGAUGCAAGCAGAGGGAGCAAGAAGAGGAAGCAGAAGACUGCGGCCUGGGCAAAAGCAUCUCCCUGUCACCAGGGGCAUAGUCAUGUCGCAGUAGAGCGUUGCCGGCACUUUAGGUGACCAGGCCGGCUUUGUGCUGGGCGACCUCCCUGUAAGCAGGGCUCGGGUCUUUGCUGUAGUUGGCCUUUUGCCUUGUUGCUCCUUUGGCUGCCUGGGGAAGGUGGGCCCCUGUAAGGAGGGCGAGAGCCGCUUUCUCCGCACCCGAGUGGGAAAUGGAGCUCGCUGGACCCCACGGGCACCCUGUAAGCAGGGUAGCGCCCUUCCCCUGCCACUGUUCCUCUGGCCGCUCAGCGCUGAUGCCUGCUGGUGGCCUGCCCGUGUGUUGGCCCUGUACUCGGGGCGUGUGUCACGCCACUUGGCCUUAAGUCACCUGGGAAUCCCCUUGGCGCGUUGAGGUCUGAGGCCUCUGUGCAGCCCCGGGGCGGGACAGAGGCUCUUGUCUGCUGCUCGUGGGUACGGGGUUUUAUUUCCCCAGGCCUUGGCUGCACUGCCUUCUCCUUCCGUUCUGGAAAGCCCUGUCUGUGUGGUUGUGUUCCCCUUCCUUCCCUUGUUUGCUUUUGUGUGUGUGACUGUGCGAUUGAAGUCUCCCCUUAGGCCUCCAUGACUAUGGCUGCAGCUUAGCUGUGGCUUCCCAGGGGGGAAUGGAGGACUCGGUGGAUGCAGCAAGGGGGAUGUUCCCUCUUAGCUCCGCGAGUGGUGCAAGUGUCCUUUUGUCUUGCCCCUUUUUUCCUAGGGCAGAACAGAGCUGUGUGGUAGUUGCGUGGCCAUGGCCGCCCUGUAUCCAGGGUUUGGGUCUGUGCCUGUGUGGCCCCCUGUCCUGCUGGCGACACGCCAGCGUGACAGCCCCGUACUUGGGGCGUGUGUCACAAACUGUGGAGCCCUCUGUCGCCGGAGCGGCCCGCCCCCCCUGUAAUCAGGUCUGGGGAGGCUGCGUUGGUGCAGCCGGCUGCUUUAGCCAGCUGGUGGGAGUGACCCCUCCCUGGCCCGUUAGAGGGUGCAGGUUGAGGUGCUACUUGUGGCUGG